UACGGGGGGGGCAAGCGUUGUUCGGAAUUACUGGGCGUAAAGGGCUCGUAGGCGGCCAACUAAGUCGGAUGUGAAAUCCCCAGGCUUAACCUGGGAACUGCAUCCGAUACUGGAUGGCUUGAAUCCGGGAGAGGGAUGCAGAAUUCCAGGUGUAGCGGUGAAAUGCGUAGAUAUCUGGAGGAAUACCGGUGGCGAAGGCGGCAUCCUGGACCGGCAUUGACGCUGAGUGAGCGAAAGCCAGGGGGAGCAACGGG
rnacentral:rRNA from 1 species